rnacentral:rRNA from 1 species
UUAAGCUAAUAAGAGCGCAGGGAGGAUGCCUUGGCAUCAGGAGCCGAAGAAGGACGUGGUAAGCUGCGAAAAGCUACGGGGAUUGGCAAGCACGAUAUGAUCCGUAGAUGUCCGAAUGGAGCAAUCCACAUGGAGUCAAGUCCAUGUAUCAUAUACUGAAUAAAUAGGUAUAUGAGGGGAACCGCCCGAACUGAAACAUCUAAGUAGGGCGAGGAAAAGAAAUCAACCGAGAUUCUGUGAGUAGUGGCGAGCGAAAGCGGAAGAGGCUAAACCGAGAGGAGCAAUCCUUUCGGGGUUUAGGACUGCAUUUAGUACAAUGAUUGUUAACCGAACAGCAUGGGAAGGCUGAUCAGAGAAGGUGAGAAUCCUGUAGGUGAAAACGAAAGUUGACGAGCAGUAUCCGAAGUACCGCGGGGCACGUGAAAUCCCGUGGGAAGAUGGGGGGACCAUCCUCCAAGCCUAAAUACUACCUGAUGACCGAUAGCGAAAAGUACUGUGAAGGAAAGGUGAAAAGCACCCCGGGAGGGGAGUGAAAGAGAACCUGAAACCCUGUGCUUACAAGCACUUAGAGCACGUCAAAGUGUGAUAAGGUACCUAUUGUAGAAUGGUCCGGCGAGUUAUUGUAUGCAGCGAGGUUAAGUAGUUCAGCUACGGAGCCGAAGUGAGAGCGAGUGUUAACAGCACGUUCAGUUGCAUGCAAUAGACCCGAAACCGGGUGACCUAUCCAUGUCCAGGAUGAAGUGAGGGUAAAACCUCAUGGAGGUCCGAACCCACUCCCGUUGAAAUGGUAGGGGAUGAGGUGUGGAUAGCGGAGAAAUUCCAAUCGAACCCGGAUAUAGCUGGUUCUCCCCGAAAUAGUUUUAGGACUAGCCUCGUGAUUAAGAUUAUCGGAGGUAAAGCACUGAAUGGCCUAGGGGUCGAGAGAUUACCGAAGCCUAUCAAACUCUGAAUGCCGAAUAAUCAUGCACGGGAGUCAGACUGUGUGAGAUAAGUUUCAUAGUCGAAAGGGAAACAGCCCAGACCUACAGCUAAGGUCCCAAAGUACGUUUAAGUGGAAAACGAUGUGAAAUUGCGUAGACAACCAGGAUGUUGGCUUAGAAGCAGCCAUACAUUAAAAGAGUGCGUAAUAGCUCACUGGUCGAGUGACUUUGCGCGGAAAAUUUAACGGGGCUAAAACGUACACCGAAGCUUAGGCUUGCAACUAUGUUGCAGGGGUAGGGGAGCGUUGAAUGAGGGGUGAAGUCGUAGCGAAAGCGACGGUGGACUUCAUUCAAGUGAGAAUGCCGGAAUGAGUAGCGAGAAUUAUGUGAGAAUCAUAAUGGCCGAAAGCCUAAGGUUUUUGGAGGAAGGUUCGUCCGCUCCAAGUAAGUCGGAAGCUAAGGUGAGGCUGAAAAGCGUAGCCGAUGCACAAACGGUUGAAAUUCCGUUACCACAGAAAGAUUUAAACUAAGGGACACUUUUGAAGAGCUGAUGCCGGGUGUUGGUUACCCCGGUCGUAAGGGAACGAAAUCAAGUAGUGAAGUCAGCGUGGAUGAAGGCGAGAAAAGCUUAGUGUAUAUCUUAUGUGUCCGUACCGCAAACCGACACAGGUAGGUAGGAAGAGAAUUCUAAGGCCAACGGGAGAAGGGUAGUUAAGGAACUCGGCAAAAUGUCCCCGUAACUUCGGAAUAAGGGGAGGUUUCUACGGAAACCCGCAGAGAAUAGUCCCAGGCAACUGUUUAUCAAAAACACAGCUCUAUGCUAAAUCGAAAGAUGACGUAUAUGGGGUGACGCCUGCCCGGUGCCGGAAGGUUAAGAGGAGGAGUGAGAGCCCUGAAUCGAAGCCCCGGUAAACGGCGGCCGUAACUAUAACGGUCCUAAGGUAGCGAAAUUCCUUGUCAGGUAAGUUCUGACCCGCACGAAUGGCGUAAUGAUCUGGGAGCUGUCUCAACUGCCCGCCCGGCGAAAUUGUAGUACCGGUGAAGAUGCCGGUUACCCGCGACUAGACGGAAAGACCCCAUGGAGCUUUACUGUAGCUUAAUAUUGGAUUUCGGCAUUUCAUGUACAGGAUAGGUGGGAGACUAGGAAACAUAGGCGUCAGCUUAUGUGGAGUCGUCCUUGGGAUACCACUCUUGGAGUGCUGAAAUUCUAACCUGCAGCCCUGAAUCGGGUUGGGGGACAUUGUUAGGUGGGCAGUUUGACUGGGGCGG